GCGCGCGGCCAGGGCGGCGGCCUCGGGGUUGGCGGGCUCGGCGGGCAGGCGCGGCACCGCGGCGUUCCAGGCGACAUCGCGCGCG
rnacentral:tRNA from 1 species